rnacentral:snoRNA from 1 species
UGGCAAUGAAGAAGGAAAUCCGUGUGCUGGAGGCAUCCGCCGGACGCCGGUGUCAGUUGCAAAAAUCCUCUAAGAAGGUCUGAGCCA